rnacentral:rRNA from 1 species
AGGGAAUCUUCCACAAUGGACGCAAGUCUGAUGGAGCAACGCCGCGUGAGUGAAGAAGGUUUUCGGACCGUAAAGCUCUGUUGUUGGUGAAGAAGGAUAGAGGUAGUAACUGGCCUUUAUUUGACGGUAAUCAACCAGAAAGUCACGGCUAACUACGUGCCAGCAGCCGCGGUAAUCGUAGGUGGCAAGCGUUGUCCGGAUUUAUUGGGCGUAAAGCGAGCGCAGCGGAAGAAUAAGUC